rnacentral:rRNA from 1 species
UACAGAGGUCCCAAGCGUUGUUCGGAUUCACUGGGCGUAAAGGGUGCGUAGGCGGUCAGGUAAGUCUGAUGUGAAAUCUCACAGCUUAACUGUGAAACUGCAUUGGAUACUAUCCGGCUCGAGGAAUGGAGGGGAGACUGGAAUACUUGGUGUAGCAGUGAAAUGCGUAGAUAUCAAGUGGAACACCAGUGGCGAAGGCGAGUCUCUGGACAUUUCCUGACGCUGAGGCACGAAAGCCAGGGGAGCAAACAGG